rnacentral:rRNA from 1 species
CGUGUAGGCGGUCCGGUAAGUGGAAUGUGAAAGCCCCAGGCUCACCCUGGGAACUGCAUCCCAUACUGCUGGACUUGAGUGCGGGAGAGGAUGGAGGAAUUCCUGGUGUAGCGGUGAAAUGCGUAGAUAUCAGGAGGAACACCUGUGGCGAAGGCGUCCAUCUGGCCCGUUACUGACGCUGAUGCGCGAAAGCUAGGGGAGCAAACG